GACGAACGCUGGCGGCGUGCUUAACACAUGCAAGUCGAGCGGUAAGGCCUUUUCGGGGGUACACGAGCGGCGAACGGGUGAGUAACACGUGGGUGACCUGCCCUCAGCUCUGGGAUAAGCCCGGGAAACUGGGUCUAAUACCGGGAUAUGACUUCAUGACGCAUGUUGUGGAGUGGAAAGCCUUGUGCGGCUGAGGAUGGGGCCCGC
rnacentral:rRNA from 1 species